GUGGCGAACGGGUGAGUAACACGUGGGCAAUCUGCCCUGCACUCUGGGACAAGCCCUGGAAACGGGGUCUAAUACCGGAUAUCACUUUUCCCUGCAUGGGGGAGGGUUGAAAGCUCCGGCGGUGCAGGAUGAGCCCGCGGCCUAUCAGCUUGUUGGUGGGGUGAUGGCCUACCAAGGCGACGACGGGUAGCCGGCCUGAGAGGGCGACCGGCCACACUGGGACUGAGACACGGCCCAGACUCCUACGGGAGGCAGCAGUGGGGAAUAUUGCACAAUGGGCGGAAGCCUGAUGCAGCGACGCCGCGUGAGGGAUGACGGCCUUCGGGUUGUAAACCUCUUUCAGCAGGGAAGAAGCGCAAGUGACGGUACCUGCAGAAGAAGCGCCGGCUAACUACGUGCCAGCAGCCGCGGUAAUACGUAGGGCGCAAGCGUUGUCCGGAAUUAUUGGGCGUAAAGAGCUCGUAGGCGGUUUGUCACGUCGGAUGUGAAAGCCCGGGGGCUUAACCCCGGGUCUGCAUUCGAUACGGGCAGACUGG
rnacentral:rRNA from 1 species